UGGGGAAUUUUGGACAAUGGGCGAAAGCCUGAUCCAGCAAUGCCGCGUGUGUGAAGAAGGCCUUCGGGUUGUAAAGCACUUUUGUCCGGAAAGAAAUCCUUGGCUCUAAUACAGUCGGGGGAUGACGGUACCGGAAGAAUAAGCACCGGCUAACUACGUGCCAGCAGCCGCGGUAAUACGUAGGGUGCAAGCGUUAAUCGGAAUUACUGGGCGUAAAGCGUGCGCAGGCGGCUUGCUAAGACCGAUGUGAAAUCCCCGGGCUCAACCUGGGAACUGCAUUGGUGACUGGCAGGCUAGAGUAUGGCAGAGGGGGGUAGAAUUCCACGUGUAGCAGUGAAAUGCGUAGAGAUGUGGAGGAAUACCGAUGGCGAAGGCAGCCCCCUGGGCCAAUACUGACGCUCAUGCACGAAAGCGUGGGGGAGCAAACAGGAUUAGAUACCCUGGUAGUCCACGCCCUAAACGAUGUCAACUAGUUGUUGGGGAUUCAUUUCCUUAGUAACGUAGCUAACGCGUGAAGUUGACCGCCUGGGGGAGUACGGUCGCAAGAUUAAAACUUAAAUGAAUUGACGGGGUCAUAGCUGUUUCCU
rnacentral:rRNA from 1 species